rnacentral:rRNA from 2 species
CAGAAGUGCGAAUGCUGACGUGAGUAACGACAAAACGGGUGAAAAACCCGUUCGCCGAAAGACCAAGGGUUCCAGUCCAACGUUAAUCGGGGCUGGGUGAGUCGACCCCUAAGGCGAGGCCGAAAGGCGUAGUCGAUGGGAAAAUGGUUAAUAUUCCAUUACUUCUGUGUAAUGCGAUGAGAGGACGGAGAAGGCUAAAUCAGCCUGGCGUUGGUUGUCCAGGUGAAAGGAUGUAGGCAUGUAUCUUAGGCAAAUCCGGGGUACUCUAUGCUGAGAUCUGAUAGCAAGCUGUACUUGUACAGCGAAGUGGUUGAUGCCAUGCUUCCAGGAAAAGUCUCUAAGCUUCAGUUACACAGGAAUCGUACCCGAAACCGACACAGGUGGUCAGGUCGAGUAGACCAAGGCGCUUGAGAGAACUCUGCUGAAGGAACUAGGCAAAAUGGUACCGUAACUUCGGGAGAAGGUACGCUGUUGUUGGUGAUGGAACUCGCUUCCUGAGCUGACGACAGCCGCAGAAACCAGGCCGCUGCAACUGUUUAUUAAAAACAUAGCACUCUGCAAACACGAAAGUGGACGUAUAGGGUGUGAUGCCUGCCCGGUGCUGGAAGGUUAAUUGAUGGGGUUAGCGUAAGCGAAGCUCUUGAUCGAAGCCCCAGUAAACGGCGGCCGUAACUAUAACGGUCCUAAGGUAGCGAAAUUCCUUGUCGGGUAAGUUCCGACCUGCACGAAUGGCAUAAUGAUGGCGGCGCUGUCUCCAGCAGAGGCUCAGUGAAAUCGAAAUCGCUGUGAAGAUGCAGUGUACCCGCGGCUAGACGGAAAGACCCCGUGAACCUUUACUGCAGCUUGACACUGAACUUUGACCUUACUUGUGUAGGAUAGGUGGGAGGCUUUGAAGCUGGAACGCUAGUUCCAGUGGAGCCGUCCUUGAAAUACCACCCUGGUAAUGUUGAGGUUCUAACUCUGUCCCGUGAUCCGGGACGAGGACCGUGUCUGGUGGGUAGUUUGACUGGGGCGGUCUCCUCCUAAAGAGUAACGGAGGAGUACGAAGGUGCGCUCAGCGUGGUCGGAAAUCACGCGUAGAGUAUAAAGGCAAAAGCGCGCUUAACUGCGAGACCCACAAGUCGAGCAGGUACGAAAGUAGGUCUUAGUGAUCCGGUGGUUCUGUAUGGAAGGGCCAUCGCUCAACGGAUAAAAGGUACUCUGGGGAUAACAGGCUGAUACCGCCCAAGAGUUCAUAUCGACGGCGGUGUUUGGCACCUCGAUGUCGGCUCAUCUCAUCCUGGGGCUGAAGCAGGUCCCAAGGGUAUGGCUGUUCGCCAUUUAAAGAGGUACGCGAGCUGGGUUUAGAACGUCGUGAGACAGUUCGGUCCCUAUCUACCGUGGGCGCUGGAAAUUUGAGAGGAUCUGCUCCUAGUACGAGAGGACCAGAGUGGACGAACCUCUGGUGUACCGGUUGUGACGCCAGUCGCAUCGCCGGGUAGCUAUGUUCGGAAGGGAUAACCGCUGAAAGCAUCUAAGCGGGAAGCCUACCUCAAGAUAAGAUUUCCCUAGGACUUUAUGUCCUCUAAAGAGCCGUUCGAGACUAGGACGUUGAUAGGUUGGAUGUGGAAGCAUAGUGAUAUGUGAAGCUGACCAAUACUAAUUGCUCGUGAGGCUUGACUA